AACGUACGCUGGCGGCACGCCUAACACAUGCAAGUCGAACGAAGUAGCAAUACUUAGUGGCAGACGGGUGAGUAACAUGUAGGUAUCUACCCUAUGGCCUGGAAUAACACGAGGAAACUUGUGCUAAUACCGGAUAAGUCUUUACGGAGAAAGCUUUAGGCACCAUUGGAUGAGCCUGCACUUGAUUAGUUUGUUGGUGGGGUAAUGGCCUACCAAGACUGUGAUCAAUAGCUGAUUUGAGAGGAUGAUCAGCCACAUUGGGACUGAGACACGGCCCAAACUCCUACGGGAGGCAGCAGUGGGGAAUCUUGCACAAUGGAGGAAACUCUGAUGCAGCGAUGCCGCGUGAGUGAAGAAGGCCCUUGGGUUGUAAAGCUCUUUCGUCGGGGAAGAAAAUGACUGUACCCGAAUAAGAAGGUCCGGCUAACUUCGUGCCAGCAGCCGCGGUAAUACGAAGGGACCUAGCGUAGUUCGGAAUUACUGGGCUUAAAGAGUUCGUAGGUGGUUGAAAAAGUUGGUGGUGAAAUCCCAGAGCUUAACUCUGGAACUGCCAUCAAAACUUUUCAGCUAGAGUAUGAUAGAGGAAAGCAGAAUUUCUAGUGUAGAGGUGAAAUUCGUAGAUAUUAGAAAGAAUACCAAUUGCGAAGGCAGCUUUCUGGAUCAUUACUGACACUGAGGAACGAAAGCAUGGGUAGCGAAGAGGAUUAGAUACCCUCGUAGUCCAUGCCGUAAACGAUGUGUGUUAGACGUUGGAAAUUUAUUUUCAGUGUCGCAGUGAAAGCGAUAAACACACCGCCUGGGGAGUACGACCGCAAGGUUAAAACUCAAAUGAAUUGACGGGGACCCGCACAAGUAGUGGAGCAUGUGGUUUAAUUCGAAGAUACGCGCAGAACCUUACCAACACUUGACAUGUUCGUCGCGACUUUAAGAGAUUAAAGUUUUCGGUUCGGCCGGACGAAACACAGGUGCUGCAUGGCUGUCGUCAGCUCGUGUCGUGAGAUGUUGGGUUAAGUCCCGCAACGAGCGCAACCCUCACUUUUAGUUGCCAUC
rnacentral:rRNA from 1 species